rnacentral:rRNA from 1 species
UGGGGAAUCUUGUUCAAUGGGGGCAACCCUGAAACAGCAAUGCCGCGUGGAUGACGAAGGCCUUCGGGUUGUAAAGUCCUUUCGAUAGGGAAGAAUAAAUGACGGUACCUAGAGAAGAAGCCACGGCUAAUCAUGUGCCAGCAGCCGCGGUAAGACAUGAGUGGCAAGCGUUAUCCGGAAUUACUGGGCGUAAAGAGCGCGUAGGCGGUUUAGAAAGUCAGAGGUGAAAAGUCAGGGCUCAACCUUGGCCUUGCCUUUGAAACUGCUAGACUAGAGUUCGGGAUAGGAGGGUGGAACUACCAGUGUAGCGGUGGAAUGCGUAGAUAUUGGUAGGAAUGCCGAUGACGAAGGUAGCUCUCUGGACCGAAACUGACGCUGAGGUGCGAAAGCUAGGGGAGCAAACAGG